rnacentral:rRNA from 1 species
AUUGAACGCUGGCGGAAUGCUUUACACAUGCAAGUCGAACGGCAGCACGGACUUCGGUCUGGUGGCGAGUGGCGAACGGGUGAGUAAUGUAUCGGAACGUGCCCAGUCGUGGGGGAUAACGUAGUGAAAAUUACGCUAAUACCGCAUACGAUCUAUGGAUGAAAGCGGGGGAUCGCAAGACCUCGCGCGAUUGGAGCGGCCGAUAUCAGAUUAGGUAGUUGGUGGGGUAAAGGCCCACCAAGCCAACGAACUGUAGCUGGUCUGAGAGGACGACCAGCCACACUGGAACUGAGACACGGUCCAGACUCCUACGGGAUGCAGCAGUGGGGAAUUUUGGACAAUGGGCGAAAGCCUGAUCCAGCCAUUCCGCGUGCAGGAUGAAGGCCCUCGGGUUGUAAACUGCUUUUGUACAGAACGAAAAGGUUUCUACUAAUACUAGGAGCUCAUGACGGUACUGUAAGAAUAAGCACCGGCUAACUACGUGCCAGCCGCCGCGGUAA